rnacentral:rRNA from 1 species
AGCGAACGCUGGCGGCAGGCUUAACACAUGCAAGUCGAGCGGGCAUCUUCGGAUGUCAGCGGCAGACGGGUGAGUAACACGUGGGAACGUACCCUUCGGUUCGGAACAACUCUGGGAAACUGGAGCUAAUACCGGAUACGCCCUUACGGGGAAAGGUUUACUGCCGCAGGAUCGGCCCGCGUCUGAUUAGCUAGUUGGUGGGGUAACGGCCUACCAAGGCGACGAUCAGUAGCUGGUCUGAGAGGAUGAUCAGCCACACUGGGACUGAGACACGGCCCAGACUCCUACGGGAGGCAGCAGUGGGGAAUAUUGGACAAUGGGCGCAAGCCUGAUCCAGCCAUGCCGCGUGAGUGAUGAAGGCCUUAGGGUUGUAAAGCUCUUUUGUCCGGGACGAUAAUGACGGUACCGGAAGAAUAAGCCCCGGCUAACUUCGUG